AUUCAUAAAACCGAGGCCGAGAGGAAGAGGGAGGCGGCCUCCGACCCGCCGCCAGCGGCGGGCAGCGCCCGGACUUUGUGAAUGGAGCGCGCGGCGCCUUUCGCCGUCUACCCGCGGGCCCAGCCUGCGCCGCGCCUCCAGCCCGACACCGGCACCUGUGCCGCCGCUGCACCCCGCCGCUAGGCGGGCGGCGCCAAAGGAAAUAGCCGGCUGAGGAGGCCAGGGCUCGGGUUUGAGCUUUCAUCCCUUGGCACCUUCGCGCUUCCCCGCGUGACAGCCCCGUAGGUUUUUCCCGGUUACCCAAGUGGAGAGGGGACCGGAGCGCUGCUGCCCACCCAGCGGGGCCUGACACCUCCUAGCCCCAGACUCCCCGUGCGCUUUCGGCCCGGCCAGUCCUUUCUGAAUAUGCGAUUCCUGAGACGUUAGCGUAUGCAUUAGCGUGAUCGAUUUUCAUCUAAAGCCAUUAAAUCAGUUUUAUAGCUUCCCCAAGAACGUGGGCAACCCCCUGCUUGGAAGAUGAAAGAGAAAGUCCUCCCGCCCGAAGCCCAGGAUCGGAGUGAGGACAACAAAAUGUCUAAAUCACCUUUCCAAGGCUUCAACAAUGAAUGUAUUUUCCAAAUCAAUGUUGGAGUACAUGGUCAGAAAAGAUGUCUUUUGGACUUGUGAAAUUACUUAUAUAAAAAUUCUUACCAAGAUGGAAGCAUAAAAAACACAUUUAUUUAUAUGUUUACUAAAUCUUCUUUUAUUGAAAACAAUAAGACAACCUGAAAGCAAGUCUAUCAGAGAAAAUCUGGGACUUAUGUCUUCACUGACAAAAUAAUAAAUGAGACAAAGUGAUAGAAGACCUUUGUCAUGACACCUGUUUGCUACCAGAGCCCCAGGCCAUCGUCAUCCACUGAUGUCUCCACAUUAAUUCUGCAGAGGUCCUGGACAGUCUUCUCUGCCCUGUCUAAUGGUCAGUUAAUUCUCCUUGUAAGCACAUCAUGGCUGACCAGGUGCUGGACCGCGCAAAGAAAGGUGUCAGAGCUUUCAGCUUAAGCCUUGAUUGGGUGGUGAGUAGGUCUCCUGCAGCUAAUCAGUGGCUUUAGAAACCCUGGAGUCCUUCAGAAACCCUAAAGUUCUUCCUUCUGAUUUUUCUGGUAGACCAAAGGAAAAGGCCAACAACAAACAAUUUCUAAAUAAGAAAUUUCCACCUUAGCUAAAAGCAAAAGGCCUUUGAUACUCUAUAAGAUUGAUCAACUCACUUCAGUUGAAAUAAUGGUUUUCUGAAGUCAAGGCAUGAACAGCCUUUCCCCACUGGAUGGGAUGCUCAGAUUACCAGCCCUGGAAUGAAACAAAAGGAGAAGACUGUCUCACCCCACACUUCUCAACCAUUGGCCAUUCUGAGAUGACACCUGCAGAGCCACAGCCCCACCUGCCCGAGCACCCACGGGUGCCUUGGUCAUCCUGCACCAUGGAGCUGCUUGUCUCUCCUCUGUGUAAUCUAAUCUUCUAUGAGUCCAGUUUUUACAUGUUUAAAUUUCUUUUCCUUUUGUUUUUAGUUUACACAUAAUAAUUGUACAUAUUUAUGGAAUACAGACUGAUAUUUUCAUACAUGUAUCUACAUUGUGUAAUGAUCAAAUCAGGGUAAUUAGCAUAUCCAUCACCUCAAAUAUUGAUCACUUCUUUGUCUUGGGAACACUCAAAAUCGUCUCUCGUAGCUCUUUCAAAAUAUACAAUAAAUUCUUGUUAACUAUAUUCACCCUACGGUGCUAUAGAACACAAGAACUUAUUCAUCCUAUCUGGCUGUAAUUUUGUAUUCUUUAAGCAACCUUCCCCAUCUUCCUCUCCCUCAUCUAAUAACAUUCUCAGCCUCUAAUAACCACAACUCCACUCUCUACUUCCAUGAGCUCAACGUUUUUUUAGCUCCCACAUAUGAAUGAGGACAUGCAGUAUUUAUCUUUCUGUGCCUGACUUAUUUCAUUUAUGUAAUCUAAUUUUAAAACAAUUAUUUGGGCUCUCCGGAAUCAGUAAUACAAAAAGAAUACAGCAAAAUGUGCUGUUUUCUUUUGCAGAAAAGAAUUAUAGUCUCUCUCUACGUUUUCCAUUGGAAUUAGCAUAACAGUCCUCAAGGGUUUACCCACUGAGGGAGACACCAAGAGUCCCCUUUAAGCAGAGGGUAAUUACAUCCUGCUAUUCAGCCCAUUUACUGGAGGUUAACUCAUUAGCACCCCGCCAACUCCGUUUUUAAUCUAAUCUAUUUCUCUAUCUCCUCCCCUAGACUCACAAUGCUGUGUGUCCUCUCUGUUGCACCUAAAACUCUUCAUCAAGUAACCAGGCGAAGAGGUCUGUCUUCUCUUCCAGAAGCCCAAGAUCCCUUUUCCAAGGACUGUCUGGAUGCCCCUGCCUUGAAUCUGAGUUUUAUCUUCUGCAGACCUGGGCUUAAUUUGCUGCUCUGAAAAAGGACACAGGCUCUGUAGCCAGACAGAUGUGGGUUUUGAUGCCAGAGCCACCGUUUAAGUAGCUGGGGAACUUUGGGUACGUUUCUGGCCAUUGCUUUUCACAUCUUGUCACUGGGAAUGUUAUUAUUAUUUUAUCUAUUUUUUUUUUUGAGACGGAAUCUUGCUUUGUUGCCCAGGCUAGAGUGCAGUGGCUCUAUCUCAAUUCACUGCAAGCUCCGCCUCCCGGGUUCACUCCAUUCUCCUGCCUCAGCAUUCCAAGUAGCUGGGACUACAGGUGCGCACCACCACGCCCGGCUAACUUUUUGUAUUUUUAGUAGAGGCGGGUUUUCACAGUGUUAGCCAGGAUGAUCUCGAUCUCCUGACCUCCUGAUCCGCCCGCCUCGGCCUCCCAAAGUGCUGGGAUUACAGACGAGAGCCACCACGCCCAGCCAGGAAUGUUAUUAACACCUAGAUUCAUCAUUGGGAACAUUUUCAAAAAAUGUAUUAUUAUUCCUUAUUCCUUUCUCUUAGACAAUUUUUUCUUUUUAAGCUGAGAGGUGUCAAUAGGGCAACAUUUCUGAUUUAUACAUUGUUUUCUCCAUGGAGUUGCAUUUGGCAAAACUCCAGGUGCAUGGAAACACACAGGUGGGUCUUUGUGCCAUCAGGCUGGGCUGCUCAGUGGGCCCAGCUGUUAGUCCACGUGUUUGCCUGUGGGUCAACAGAACAGGAAAGGCUCCUGGAUUCUCUCUGUUGCUUUCCAUCCACCUGGACUGCUCCACCUCCUAUCCUCUCUGUCUCCUUGAUUCAACUCGAUGCUACCCUCAUUUAUCCAAGCAGAGAAAGGUGCUCCUUUCCUCUUUUAGUUUUCUCUCACCCUUCCUUCUUUUCACAUCUAUUUCUUACUGUUUCCUGCACAGUGCUUGUCUUUUCUCUGACAUUGUAUGAGCAAUUUCUUUGAUACAAUGGUAGUCUCCAAUUAUGCUACUGGGCAAGCCAGCCUAGAGGUUGUGGAACAGAAAGGCUCUCAGACCAACUUAAGUCACUCAUAUCGCAAGUUUUAUUGAAUCAGCUGAAAAUAUCCAGUACUUUCAAGGGGAAAGAUGUGAGAAAGGUUCACCCACUUAGCUUAAGGUGCAAGCAGGUGGCAGGACCACACGACCCGAUCCUCAGUGACUCAGUGUUCAUGUGACCGGUGUUCUCUUCUACAUUGACCUUCCAAGCUCAUGGGGUAGUUACUUUGGAACAAGGAGGCUCUGCAGAGAAAACUGCCUGAAGCCAAAAUGAUCUUGCUCUACCAGAGAGAUAAAGGGGCAAGUAUGCCUGGCCAAUAAAGAGCUUGCUAAACAGCCA